UUCGAUAAGUUGCAUAACAAGCUUCGGAGAUGUGUUGUUCGCAUUGUGCGUGUCGAAGAGGGCGAGAAGUCUGUAAUUACUCCCGGCACGAUUGCUUCGUUGCGUUCCAACAACUGCAUUGUAAUAGCAGACGCCACGACCUUCCAGAUGGGCACUGUAGCUCGCUAUGAAGUUGUGUUUCCAGACAGCAACAGAACAACAGUGCUGCUUCAGAAGGAAAAUGUAGCAAUAGAGAAGGGCAUGGCUGCGUUCAAUAUUCCUAAUACUCCAUUUGAUUCUAGUUUCGUAGAGGCUGUUUCUCUUUGUGAGCAUGAGGCUUUAGAGAAUCAAAUUGUUUAUAGUCUUGGUUUUGAUAAAGAUAGAACCAUUCCCAGUCAUUUAUCCGAAGGUUCAGUGAUCACUGCAGAUUCACAACAGUUCAUUCACAACUGCUCUCGUGACACUUUCACUAAAUUCGGGUCACCGGUUUUCGACGCAAAGGGUUCAUUGGUUGGUCUCUCUUCUUCUUCUGAUCCUGGAGUCUGAGUUUGUUAUAAUCUUCAAGUCCUUCAACGAUUCGUUACAUAUCUUUGUCGAGAUGAAAAGGUAUGCUGCUUAUAA
rnacentral:rRNA from 1 species